rnacentral:sRNA from 1 species
GGAAAGGAGGACCCACCACGACAGGGCAGACCCCCAAUACCUGCUCCUCCUUGAAGUCCAGCUCCACCCGAGGACAGACGCAGCCGGCCUCCGCCAGGCCCUCCUGAGCAGCCAUCGCUUCAGUGGUGCUGGGUCAGGCGGACCCAAGAGUCAGCCCGUACGGAAGCCGCGCUAUGUCAGGCGGGAGCGGCCCCUGGACAGGGCCACGGAUCCCGCUGCCUUCCCGGGGGAGGCCCGUAUCAGCAAUGUCUGACCUGGAGGCCGAGACCACGCCACGCACUUGGCAGGGACCCGGAGGCCGACACCUUGGCGGGAACCAGCACAAAGUGUUGGCAUCGCCUGGCGCCCAGGACAGUCCUGGGCACAGCCUCGGCUCUGAGUCCCUCCGCCUCCCAGUGACGGAUGCCAAAGGGUCCCGGGCCGCCUGAGGCUCCUUCCCACCACAGCCAUCUCGUUUAUCGGACCAGGAGCAGGCAUCCGUGAGACCUCAGAGCUUCAGAUCGAGGCCUUGGGGGGUCCGGGCCCCCCCCCAAGGAAACACGAAAUUCAUUGUGCAGAAAAGUCCACCAGAGCUCUGCGGCCCCGCUCGGAUCCGCUGGACCCCCAUGUCUGGCUGAUCCCUGCCCACGUGGGGCAGGCCCACAUCUAAC